GGGGAUGGGAAGAGUCACUCACCGCUCAAAGGACAGUGGAUCCAUGCAGCUGCCUUUGAAAGCAUUGUGGUAACAUCUGGUGAAGUUGAAAAUGUGGAUACGAUUGACCCAAGAAGCGUCUAUAUAGAUAUGAAUCCUGAAGUAUUUUGAAACUGUGCACAAGGUGACACACUCAAGAAGUUCACGUCGAGGACCUGAGGCAGAAAAGGCUGAUUCUGCAGCCACCGGCAGUUACACAGCUCAGUGCCCAUUGCAGAAGAAAAACAUAAUGAUGGGAGAACAAGGUAGCCAGGUGGGUCAUUUUGGUUUUGAACAUGAAUUCUUUUGAAGACGUGUGCUUUUAAAGCAUGUCCUGCCUAGGCAAUACAG
rnacentral:lncRNA from 1 species